CGAGUCUCCCAGGUGAUCGCGGUCGAUGUGUCGACGCUUCCGCGCAAGCGGUCGCCGAGAUCGUCGGUCGAGGAAAGUCCGAACUCCGCAGGGCAGGGUGCUGGGUAAUCCCCAGGGGGCGCGAGCCCACGGAAAGUGCAACAGAGAGCAGACCGCCAACGGGCGUCCCGUCCGACCGCUCACGCGGGCGGCGGGCGCUGCGGGCAAGGGUGAAACGGUGCGGUAAGAGCGCACCAGCGGCCCCGGUGACGGGGUCGGCUAGGCAAACCCCACCUGGAGCAAGACCGCAUAGAGGGGGAGGAGUGUGGCCCGCUCCGCUACCACCCCAGGGUCGGUCGCAUUGAGUCGUCCGGAAACGGGCGUCCCAGUCGAAUGAUCACCACGGAGCAAUCCGACAGAAUUCGGCUUACGGGAGACUCGGAUU
rnacentral:RNase_P_RNA from 3 species